rnacentral:rRNA from 1 species
AGCGAACGCUGGCGGCAGGCCUAACACAUGCAAGUCGAACGAACUCUUCGGAGUUAGUGGCGGACAGGUGAGUAACACGUGGGAACGUGCCUUUUGGUUCGGAAUAACUCAGGGAAACUUGUGCUAAUACCGAAUGUGCCCUUCGGGGGAAAGAUUUAUCGCCAUUAGAGCGGCCCGCGUCUGAUUAGCUAGUUGGUGAGGUAACGGCUCACCAAGGCGACGAUCAGUAGCUGGUCUGAGAGGAUGACCAGCCACACUGGGACUGAGACACGGCCCAGACUCCUACGGGAGGCAGCAGUGGGGAAUCUUGCGCAAUGGGCGAAAGCCUGACGCAGCCAUGCCGCGUGAAUGAUGAAGGUCUUAGGAUUGUAAAAUUCUUUCACCGGGGACGAUAAUGACGGUACCCGGAGAAGAAGCCCCGGCUAACUUCGUG